rnacentral:rRNA from 2 species
GGAGGAACCCCGGUGGCGAAGGCGGGUCUCUGGGCAGUAACUGACGCUGAGGAGCGAAAGCGUGGGGAGCGAACAGGAUUAGAUACCCUGGUAGUCCACCGCCGUAAACGGUGGGUACUAGGUGUGGGUUUCCUUCCUUGGGAUCCGUGCCGUAGCUAACGCAUUAAGUACCCCGCCUGGGGAGUACGGCCGCAAGGCUAAAACUCAAAGAAAUUGACGGGGGCCCGCACAAGCGGCGGAGCAUGUGGAUUAAUUCGAUGCAACGCGAAGAACCUUACCUGGGUUUGACAUGCACAGGACGCUGGUAGAGAUAUCAGUUCCCUUGUGGCCUGUGUGCAGGUGGUGCAUGGCUGUCGUCAGCUCGUGUCGUGAGAUGUUGGGUUAAGUCCCGCAACGAGCGCAACCCCUAUCUUAUGUUGCCAGCGCGUCAUGGCGGGGACUCGUAAGAGACUGCCGGGGUCAACUCGGAGGAAGGUGGGGAUGACGUCAAGUCAUCCAUGCCCCUUAUGUCCAGGGCUUCACACAUGCUACAAUGGCCGGUACAGAGGGCUGCGAAUCCGUAAGGUGGAGCGAAUCCCUUCAAAGCCGGUCUCAUUCGGAUCGGGGUCUGCAACUCGACCCCUGAAGUC